AAGCUUCAUCUCUUGGACCUCUCAAGAACCUGCUUGGCUCCUCUUAGUGACAGAAGUAGCCCCUGAGAGCGCUCUGACCUGCAGCCAGGUGCUGUUAAUGAGCUGAUAAGCAGACAGAGUUUGGAAAAAUCAGAGCGAUGGGACAGGAAGCAGAAACAAAGUUGAAGCUGGAGAUGGUGGCCUCAAUCAAUGAAGAGUUGGAGCAGAUGCACCUCGGACAUAGAAAAGUAUGGUUGAAGACUGCUCAGGGAUGAGCAGAAACCACCAUAUUACUGGCACAAACCUAGAUUACAUCAAGAAAGAAGGAACAUGCAGAACUGAUGCUGCUUCAUCUGGAUUAGCAAGGCAGAUACGAAGUCAGAACCCGUCAACACUCAAAUGAGCAUUGUAUCCAGGUUUGGAUCUUCUUUGGCAAUAUGCUUGGGAAAAAUACAGCCAUCUAAUACAGAUUGGGUACUCAGACAUCAGAGUAGAAGCUGUGAAAAUCAAGAACAUGUAGAAUCUGAACGAGCAAUGAAUGAACAACAGUGAAUUAGACACAGACUUGGAGGGUAACAGUUUCACCUGUUCAGAUUCAGGGCGUGUGGAGAAGAGAAGGAAAAUUAAUCACUUAGCCAUCCAAAAAACUGAACAGGACUUGAAUCAGAUGCACAAGGACAGCGUAAAACUAACUGAAAGGAUAUUGGCUUUGGAAGAACAAUCUCUUCAGAAGCUCUCUGAAAUGUCGUCUACCUCGCCUACUCUAGCCAGUUUCAUCAUGGAACACAGCAAUCUCAAAGGUUGUCCCUGGUUCAAGGAGGAUUAAUUUAAAGCUAGGCCUCUUAGGGCCACUUUUAAUUCAAGGAGAUCCUACUAUGUGUGGAAUUGGGACUCCUAGGAACACUUCCAGUUAUUUAAAUGGCGUAACACCUUUCUUAAAGGCGGAAGGCUUGCAUCAAAUUUGGCUGUGAAGUGCUGUGCACAGUGUUUGAUACUACAGACAUUCCAGGAUGGUUUGUUUACUUGUGGCAUUCUGUGCUUGU